AUGCCGCACCCUGCCCCUUAUCCUCGCUUGGGGAAGCCGCAGACUCAGGACGGCUGGAGCUACCAAUCCGUCCGCGAGAUCAGCGAGGAGAUUGGUCGCGGCUGCUUCGGCGUCGUCCGCUGCUGCACUGGAGGACGAGGCGUUGAUGCACAUGGUGACGGUCUAAUGGACCUCUGCACCGGCCCGGACCUGUCGACUGGGUUCGCCUCCGCCACGGCGCUCCCGUACCGGAGCCGGAUGUCGCCGCUGUUGCCGCACUGCUCGCCGAGGCCCUCGAGAUCUUCCACCGCUGAGACGCCGUCGACACACCAGGGACACGGGAGGGCAGCCAGCCCAGUAGAAUCCCACCUUCUAACCCUAAUUACCAGCGCUCUCUCUCUCUAUCCGCUAGAUUGA
rnacentral:rRNA from 1 species